ensembl:lncRNA
CUGGCUGAGGUCACAGUGCCUGCUAAGAUUUCCUUGGUGAUGCAAUUCUGCCCUCCCUGGUGGGGUGUCAGCACCAACCAAUUUCUUACCGUAUAUGUGACUGAAGUCAUAGACCAUGCCAGGAUUGUCUUGGUAACGUAGCCCUUCCCUAUCGGCAUAGGAUCUAAUAAAAUUCAGGAACGCUAUCUUCCCUAUAUUCCUUCCCAAGGGAUCACUAAAAUCUUGUAGUUCUUAGUGAGGACAUUUUCAACGCUAUCAUUUCCUUGCCCUUUAGAAUAGGAUUGGGUAGGGGUGGAUAAGAGAUUGAGAGAAGAAGACAUGGAUUGUUGGAAUCCUGGGACUUCUACUUUUCUAGUCAAAAAGGGGUAGCCACUAAAGGCAAAAAAAAAAUGUAGAUACAUGGAUUAGUCAUAAGACCAGGUCAAAGAUUUAAUAAAAGAUGACCCUGCAAUCAAGUAAAUACAUAUAAAUGUCCCCUCCCCCAUCCCCUUCCCUCCUUUAUCUCCUUCCUCCCUUAAGUGCAAAAAAAAAAAAAGAAAGAAAGAAAUUAUUUUCUUAUUAAUAUAAUAGAUUUCCCUAGUUAUCUAGUUAUGUAGGUUACCUAGGACUUUUUCAGUGACCCAAAGUUUCUACCUAAAACAAAAGUUCAUCGUUUAAAUACCAAAUGUUUCCAGACAUGUUAUAUGCUCUAGAAUAGAUCAUGGAAUACCACAGCCUUUGAAGAAUAAAUGUUGAAGGUCAUCCAAAGGGCAAUGGAGAAUACAUGGUGGGGAUGAUUAGGUUAUAACAUUUUGCCCACAAAGAUUACAAAGAAGUAGCAUUAAAGAUAUCAUCAAAGAUAUGAGACUGUUAUGUAGUAAAAGUGAGGAAUAAUAUGACGAAUGUUAAAUCCACAGCAUAUUUGAUAGAUCUCCUGGGUAUGGGAAGACAUGAAAGAGAACUGCACAGGAAAAGGAGUCAUUAAUGGCGUGAAACCGGCACUGUCGCAGGGAGCAGCCACAUUGACAUGGGAUCAUAGAUCCACUGACAUAUUGAGGACCAAGGGUCAGCAUCGCAUAGAACACCUCAAUGCUUCCCUUGGUCAGUGACUCGACCAAAAGGGGAGAAUGUGGCAUGCAGUCAACAGAAGAGACUACCUGACCCAGACCCCACUGACCCCAUAGUUGGAACAGAUUUAAACUAGUUGGAGCCAGUCUGGUGAUAGCUAUCUCUGGAACUCACUGUUGCUACCCCUGGAGCAUGAUGUUCUGACCAGAGUCACAACUCCCAAAGCCUUUCCAGCUUCUCUAUGGACUUUCUGUUAUUAUGCAAAACAACUUAUGUAACAGAUUCACCAAGCUGUGCCUUCCACGAGAUUCCCUCCCUGUUGAAGUGUAUUUAAACCCUGCCUCUUCUGCCCCUCCUGGGCCUUCUAAAUACUUUGGUGCUAUGUGGUAUCUUUUCCUUGAUUAAAGACCUUUGUUAUCGCUCCUUUCAUAGUCCUCUUUAUUUCAGGUUGACAACCCAAAUUAUUUUGUCUAUAAAGUGAGGGUUUGAAUUAGAAGAUCUCUAAGGCUUCUUCCUACUGUAACACACUAAAAUUCUAUUCUAAGACUCUUUUCAUUUUCUCUUUAAAAAAAAUUAUUCUCCAGAAGCCAGAAAAUCCCUUAUGAUAAGGGAGGAAGAUGGUAAAAUUGUAAAGAUCUUUUUGUUUUGUUUUGUUUUAUUUUUAAACCACU